GAGGGUAUAGCCCAGUGGUAGAGUGUUUUGCUUAGCAUGCACGUGGUCUUGGGUUCAAUCCCCAGUACCUCUA
rnacentral:tRNA from 1 species